GUGAUACUUUUGCUGGGAACAGAUCAAGGAUGCAAGCCCGCCAACUCCUGUAAAGUUAGGAAAACUUGAAGGUGUGCCAGGGCAGUCUAUCCAUGCAGGGAACUGUCCAGGCUGGGAAUACUCCAUCAGAAGGGAGAGAGAUGAGAUCUCCACUCAAGAGAGGGUAGGGGAGCUCUCAGCAUAAAGCCACUCCUGCAACAGCUUCCCCCCACCCUAACAGAGCGGGCAUGUGAAGAUCAAAGGAAACCAGAGAAACCAGAAACACCAGGUGGAGCAGCUAUGGAAGUGAAGCCCUUGGAGAACAAAGGGCUAUGGAUGGGAAAGGAGGAGAAGGCAACCCAUAGGGACAAUUUGUCAAAGAAAUAAAAAUCAAGGGUGUGUUUGCUUAGUUUAGAGAGAAGAAGAAUGGUAAGGGGACAAGAAAAAGUAGACAAACCAGUGAAUAGUUGGGCUAGACAAUGAAAAUUCUAUUAAAUAGAAUAGGAAAUACUUUUCACCAUAGAUAAUUAACCCGGGGAACGCACCACCACAGGACAUGAUAGAAAUCAAGAGUUUAAGAAGAUUAAAAAAAGAGGAGCCAUUUGUAUGGAUAAUGAGAACAUGGAUAGCUGUUAGGAUAAAUUUAAAAAUAAGUAUAAACUGUCAUGCGGCAGGGCACAAGCCAGACAUUAACUGA